rnacentral:lncRNA from 1 species
AACAAGCUAGUACGACAGGGACAGAAAUAUAUAAGAACACAAACAUAUAUAUUUUCACACGAACAUCGUUAACACAGAGACUGGAAAUUAAAUGUUCAUACAUCUUACUUCUACAGAGAGUAACAUCGAUAGUAAAUUCACAAGAAACAAUAUGAAUUAUUAAAAGCAACUAGCUGACAAUUAGUCACACACACAGAACAUAUAUGAUUUGCAUUACACAAGACACAAUACUAUCACUAAAAUGAUCAACAUCACAGAAAUACGAAACCACAUGAAACAUAUAUCACGAACAUAUAUGUCACAGAAAUACUCAUAAGCAGAUUCUGAUAGAUCAAUCACCUCCCAAAUUAAGAAGGCAUCAACAAGUCAGGUCACAUAACAAGUACUAUAUUAUACCAGUACGGAGCUAAACAAAUAACAAGUGAUUAGAACUAGUCAAGUCUGAAUAUUACACAACCCUGAACAUUACACAACCCUGAACAUUACACAAUUCUGAACAUUACACUACUCAAAGUUACAGAAAUUUGAGAGAGAGAGAACAGCAGCAGGUUUUGGGAAAGGGGGAGGAGGAGCAGCAGGUUUUUGGAAGAUGAGGAGCAGCAGGGGCGUUUGAGAGAAGGUGCAGCAAGAGAGAGGAGCAGCGGCAGUUCAGCAGAGAGGUUGAGGGAAGGAGCAGCAACAGUUGCGGUUCAGAGCAGCAGCAGCAGCGUGGAGGGUUGAGAAAAAAGCUUCAGCCGAGGCCAAGCAGGGUCCUGAGAGGAGAAACAGAGGAGGAGCAGUAGCGAGAUGGGCGAAGGGAGCAGCAGGAAGGCGAUGGGGAAGAAGAGAAGGGCAGUAGGGAAGAGCAGCAGCAGAUGGCAGGGUCGCGCGGGGCACCAGACACCUUGUCUGGUCGGCCGCGCCGUGGAUGCGAUGGCGCUGGAGGUUGGCAGGAUGGAUGGUAUGGUGCUGGUGGUGCGUGGUGGAGAUGGUCGUGGCUGGCGGCGCCGAUGGAUGGAUGGCGCGGCUGCUGGUGGUGGAUGGUGCGGCGGCGCUGAUGGUGGAUGGAGAUGGGUGAUGAGGCGGGAGGCGCACCACCACGCCGGCCUGGCUGUGGCGGCGGCCGGAGGUGGAGAAGGAGGGUGAGGGAAAGAGAUACCAGGCCCGAUUUGGAAUGAGGUAGCCGCUAGGGAUUUUGAUCCCCUCACGGCUGAUCUGGACAUUUUCACAUUGACCCUCCUGCUUUCUUCUUUCUUCGCAAGAAGAUCCCUUCUCUUCUUUAGCUAGCCCCUGGUAACUUCUUUUCUUCAUUCUCAGGUCCCUUUCUUCACUUCUUUCCUGCCCUUCUCUCUUCUCAAUAGCCAAUUCAUCCAAAU